GAUGAAGAACGUAGCGAAAUGCGAUAAGUAAUGCGAAUUGCAGAAUUCAGUGAAUCAUCGAAUCUUUGAACGCACAUUGCGCCCGCCAGUAUUCUGGCGGGCAUGCCUGUCUGAGCGUCGUUUCGACCCUCGCGCCCGGCUUCUGUCGGGGGCGGUGUUGGGGAUCGGCUACACCCUUCAGUGGGAGGCCGGCCCCUAAAUUCAGUGGCGACCACGCUGUAGCCUCCCCUGCGUAGUACUAAAACCACCUCGCAGGCGGAGAGCGGUGCGGCCCGCCGUAAAACCCCCCAACUUUUACAAGGUCGACCUCAGAUCAGGUAGGAAUACCCGCUGAACUUAAGCAUAUCAAUAAGCGGAGGA
rnacentral:misc_RNA from 1 species